rnacentral:ncRNA from 1 species
UUAAAGUUUUAUUUAAACUUUAAUUUUUAUUUUAUCAUUAUUUAAUAUGUAAAUUUUAAUUUUAAAAAGAAAUUAUUUUCAGUUUUUAAUAUUAAAAAAUUAUUUUUGUAAGUUUUAGUAAAUGAUUAUAGAUUUAAUAAAAUUUGUGCCAGCAAUUGCGGUUACACAAAUAAUUCAAUUAAAAUUUUUUGGUUAAUUAAUUAAUUUUUUUUUUACUAAAAUUUAUUAUUAAUAUUUUUAAGUGAAAUUUAAAUUUUAAUAUAAUUUUUUUAUUAUUAUUUGAAGUUAUUAAAAUUUAUUUUAAACUAGGAUUAGAUACCCUAUUAUUAAAAUUGUAAGUUUUUAUGCCAGAUUAAUAUUAGUUAUUUUCUUUAAAAUUAAAAAAUUUGGCGGUAUUUUAGUCUAUUCAGAGGAAUCUGUUCUAUAAUUGAUAAUCCACGAUUAGUUAAACUUUUUUUAUUCUUGUAUAUCAUUGUUUUGAAUAUUUCAAAAGAAUUAAAAUUUUCAAUAAGUAUAUAAUAGUUAAUUUCAGAUCAAGGUGCAGUUUUUAGGAAAGAAGAAAUGGGUUACAUUAAAUUUAUUUUUGGUUUAUUAUUUUAAAUGAUAUUAUUAAAUUGGAUUUGAUAGUAAUAUUUUAUAUAUUUUAAGUAUGAUUAAAGCUCUAAAAUGUGUACAUAUUGCCCGUCGCUCUCAUUAGUUUGAGAUAAGUCGUAACAAAGUAGAUUUACUGGAAAGUGAAUCUAGAAUUUAUU